AACUAUACUGAUAGUUACCCAACUAUUAGUAAAUUUCCUUUUUAGUCACUCAACAACGAAAAGUUACAAAAUGAUCAUCCAAUUAUUUGAGUUUUAUUUUUGUGGUCACCAACUGUUAAUUACUAGCAGAAAGAUAACUUCAAAACUUUUAAAAUUGACAUAAUAACAACUUUAACCCUUUAAAUUUAUACAUUGUGUCAAUUUAGUCUUGGUUCUAAAAAAUUCAACCCUCAACAUUGUGUAUUUUGGUCCUUUUUUGUAGUUUUGUUUUUCUUGUGAC
rnacentral:lncRNA from 1 species